GCAGCUUAGUGGUAUAGCAUCUGCCUGGCAUGCAGAAGGUCCCUGGUUCGAUCCUCGGCAUCUCCA